GGGCCUUUAGCUCAGUCGGUUAGAGCAGCUGACUCAUAAUCAGUUGGUCCCUGGUUCAAGUCCAGGAAGGCCCA
rnacentral:tRNA from 1 species